ACAGAAUCUAGUCAUACCUCACCAUGGGGCUUUCUAACCCUUUGUGGGUCAGGGUUGUUAGGGUAAAAGAUGCUCUGAUUUCCACAAGGGCAGGGCUAUGGUGUUUGUUGCUGAGUUUAUGAACAACAUUAUCUAACUCAUUUAAUUCUCAAAAAUCCCAUGAGGAAGCCAUUAUUGUCUCCAUUUACAGGUGAGAAGGUCAAGGACAGUGAGGUCAAGUAUCUUGCCAAAGUCAAAAUGCUAGAACAGUAGGUAGUGGAGCCAGUUCUAGAAGCUGGACAGUCACUCAGCCAUGCACUUCAGAUCCCUGACCCUGCUGCAUACAGAAUUUUUCCAAGCAAAGAUGUUAGGAGGCAACACCUCAGACUAGGUCUCAGCCUCCUGCCCUCCAAUCUUGGGCAUCUUACACCUGCAGAGAAGAAGCACUGAGGGCACCUUCCUCCUCAGCCCCACUGUGUUCCAUCUCCUCCAGGGCCACCCAGCUCAGCAAGAAUCAGCAGAGAGUUGAUCAUGUCCAGGAAGGCCCUAGAACUCCAAAGAUGAAAUCUCACAUUGGAUGAACUCUGCAUUAAGUUCCCUCAAAACAAAUCCUAUAAGAAGGAAGCCACAGUGAGUAUGGAUCUUCAAUAGGAAACCAUCCAGACUCAUCCUCAAAGGGUUGAGACAAGAUGACAUUUCUCAGGAUCAGUGCUGUUGAUAGGAUUUUAAAUGUGUAAGUCAGAGAGUUUGAAAAGGGAAGAAUAGAUCUAUUUGCAAAAUUCCCAAACCAAUUUUGAAAUCAUCAGCCUUGACUCUGAGCUUCCCUGUGCUGUGGCAUUUAGAGUAAUAAAGACAUGGCUGGCAGAGGGCUUGCGUCUCAUCUUUAUUGCAUGAACUACAUGCAGGUCAUGCCACAUGCAGAUGCUGUGUGAGAGUGACUGGAGUGAACUGUAUAUAGAAUGUCUGGAACCCAUCCCCCAUUUCUGACCCAGCCUAGGACCACAGCUUCCCAUGAAAGGGGCCUGACUACUUGGCCGUGGUGUUUGGCAGAUAGAAUCAAUGGGAUGCCCUAAUGGAUGAAGCUAGAAAAUACAGCAUAAAAAUGGCCCUGAAUCUUUUCAUCACCAUCCUUAUUGAAAGGCACAGUGUAUCCCUCUGCUCACUCAAACCAGGGUCUUCCUGUUAGCUACCUGCAACAUUUCUUCUUUAAUUCUGCAGAUACUGUGGCUUGAUCUUCGCUAUAUGUGUAGAUAUUUUCAAGAUGGAACCUAAGUAUAUAUAAUGUGGUUUUCUUCUUUCUUUCAUUUGGACAGAGCUGUACUUACAUAGAGAAAAUUCCCUUUAAAACACAUACACACCUUAAAGGUUUUGGUUCUGUGGCAAACUGUGAGAUUGUAUUUAUUUCCUACGUUUUCCUCAAU
rnacentral:lncRNA from 1 species